CCUACGGGGUGCUGCAGUGGGGAAUAUUGCACAAUGGGCGCAAGCCUGAUGCAGCCAUGCCGCGUGUGUGAAGAAGGCCUUCGGGUUGUAAAGCACUUUCAGCGGGGAGGAAGGCGGUGAGGUUAAUAACCUCAUCGAUUGACGUUACCCGCAGAAGAAGCACCGGCUAACUCCGUGCCAGCAGCCGCGGUAAUACGGAGGGUGCAAGCGUUAAUCGGAAUUACUGGGCGUAAAGCGCACGCAGGCGGUCUGUCAAGUCGGAUGUGAAAUCCCCGGGCUCAACCUGGGAACUGCAUUCGAAACUGGCAGGCGAGAGUCUUGGAGAGGGGGGUAGAAUUCCAGGUGUAGCGGUGAAAUGCGUAGAGAUCUGGAGGAAUACCGGUGGCGAAGGCGGCCCCCUGGACAAAGACUGACGCUCAGGUGCGAAAGCGUGGGGAGCAAACAGGAGUAGAUACCCUGGUAGUC
rnacentral:rRNA from 1 species